rnacentral:misc_RNA from 1 species
GUAUGGAUCAUUACCGUUUUUGAUUGAUUCAAUAUUCAAUCAUAAACACAUUUCAACUUCGCGCAAUCAUCAUCAUCAUGUGAUCCUUGUGAUUAUGUGGAUGAUUGUGUCGCACCAUUAUGUAUUGAACAAGAUAACAUUCAUAUGAACUAUGAUUCUUCGUGAUAGUAGUUCAUGUUGUCUUGUUUCUAAACCCUUUCCAUUCAACAAAUCAUUGUUGUUUGUCAUUGAAUAUGAAUCGAAUGUACAUACACAGAAAAAACAAAUACAAUUCUGUACGGUGGAUCACUCGGCUCGUUAUUCGAUGAAGAGCGCAGCAAAGUGCGAGAAAGCAAUGCGAAUUGCAGGACACAUUGAGCAUGAAUAACUCGAACGCAUCUAGCAGCCAAGGCGUAAGCCGAGGCUAAAUUUGCUUCAGUCUUGUUUACAUAACAUCAAAUUCAUUUAUUCUUAUAUAAAUGAAUUGCUGGCAAGUUCGAUAAUCUAUUUAUCUAGCUUGCAAGACAUAUUUCUCAUAUGACAUGAUUAUAUACAUAUUUCUAUGUAUGUAAGAAUGUUGUAUACGUAUGAAACGGAGUUAUACACAUACACAUAAAAUGAUUUUAUUGUGUAAACUGUCAUAACACGAGAAAUCUUUAUCAUAUCCGUGUUGUUGAUCAUAUAUACGCAAUAGAAUUCAUGUGUAGAUGUUAUGAUAUUCCUUGUUCUAUUGAAAUGAUUUGAUCAUUUUCAUUCGUUUCAAGCUGAAGUCAAAUUAGAAUACUUGCUGAACUUAAGCAUAUUAAUAAGCAAAGGAAAAGAAAUCAACUGAGAUUGCCUUAGUAAUGGCGAAUGAACCGGCAAAAGCUCAUUGCUGAAGCGUGUUGGAUUGACUUCUAACAUGCAUUGUAGCAUUUGGGGUAACUACUGUAGGAUGCCUGUUCGUGUGAGUUCCUUUGAUCAGGGCUUCUACCAUAGAAGGUGCUAGUCCUAUAAUCACGAAUAGUUGUGUCUUACAUUGUCUACCUUUCGAGUAGCGUAGUUUGAGAUUGCUACGCCAACGUGGGACGUAAACUUGUUCCAAAGCUAAAUAUCAUAACGAGACCGAUAGCGAACAAGUACCGUGAGGGAAAGUUGAAAAGCACUCUGAAGAGAGAGUUAAAUAGUACGUAAAACCGUACAGAAGAAAACGAAUGGCCGCAUUCAUCAGAUGACUUUGAAUUCAAUUCGAUCUCUGUGGUAAUCCUAGUUGAUCCGGAACUUCAACAGUCCAUCGGCUAGUUCUUGCUCGGAAUCGGAUGCAUUUUCAAAGUAUUACUGAACCUGGAUCUAUAACAUACAGCUAGUCGAAUCAGCCUGUCUUGGUAGCGAGUUUACUCGUGAUAGGAUAUGGUUUGCAUAAAUAACAAAUUCGACUUGGCGUUAUAGGUAAACAGACAUGGUUUUGAUUUCAGUACCUCGUGUACGGCAUGCCAUGAGCAUUGUUUGUGUCGCAUGAGUGACUAAUGUCUAACCGGCUUUAGUUUCAUUCAUGUUGGUGCCUAAUGUUUUGUGGCUGUCAAUGAAAUCGGCAAGUCUACAGGAGUUUUGAAUGCCGAGUUAUUCGACCCGUCUUGAAACACGGUCUAAGGAGUUCACUGCAUGUGCAAGAGUUCGGCUGUAUGAAAAGCCUUGCUCGUAAUGAAAGUAAAGAACAUUCUCGCAAUGUUUUAAGUGUGAUUUCUGUCAUCUGGUGCAAAUCAUGACAAUGAACGCAACACUGACAGGUUCUAUUGCCGCUGGCAAAGAGCUUAGUAAGAGUAUAUGCAAUGAGACCCGAAAGAUGGUGAACUUAAUGUGUGUAGAAUGAAGCCAGGGGAAACCCUGGUGGAAGUUCGUAGCGGUUCUGACGUGCAAAUCGAUCGUCAAACAUGCAUUAAGGGGCGAAAGACUAAUCGAACCAUCUAGUAGCUGGUUCCGUC